CUGGNUCAGAUUGAACGCUGGCGGCAGCCANAACACAUGCAAGUCGAGCGGCAGCACGGGUACUUGUACCUGGUGGCGAGCGGCGGACGGGUGAGUAAUGCCUAGGAAUCUGCCUGGUAGUGGGGGAUAACGCUCGGAAACGGACGCUAAUACCGCAUACGUCNUACGGGAGAAAGCAGGGGACNUUCGGGCCUUGCGCUAUCAGAUGAGCCUAGGUCGGAUUAGCUAGUUGGUGAGGUAAUGGCUCACCAAGGCGACGAUCCGUAACUGGUCUGAGAGGAUGAUCAGUCACACUGGAACUGAGACACGGUCCAGACUCCUACGGGAGGCAGCAGUGGGGAAUAUUGGACAAUGGGCGAAAGCCUGAUCCAGCCAUGCCGCGUGUGUGAAGAAGGUCUUCGGAUUGUAAAGCACUUUAAGUUGGGAGGAAGGGCAUUUACCUAAUACGUAAGUGUUUUGACGUUACCGACAGAAUAAGCACCGGCUAACUCUGUGCCAGCAGCCGCGGUAAUACAGAGGGUGCAAGCGUUAAUCGGAAUUACUGGGCGUAAAGCGCGCGUAGGUGGUUCGUUAAGUUGGAUGUGAAAUCCCCGGGCUCAACCUGGGAACUGCAUUCAAAACUGUCGAGCUAGAGUAUGGUAGAGGGUGGUGGAAUUUCCUGUGUAGCGGUGAAAUGCGUAGAUAUAGGAAGGAACACCAGUGGCGAAGGCGACCACCUGGACUGAUACUGACUCNAAGGUGGGCAAGCGUGGGA
rnacentral:rRNA from 1 species